rnacentral:rRNA from 1 species
GAUGAACGCUAGCGGCAGGCCUAAUACAUGCAAGUCGAGGGGUAGUGGUUGCUUGCAGCCAUGAGACCGGCGCACGGGUGCGUAACGCGUAUGCAACCUACCUUCAUCUGGGGGAUAGCCCGGAGAAAUCCGGAUUAAUACCGCAUAAAAUCACAGUACGGCAUCGUACAAUGAUCAAACAUUUAUGGGAUGGAGAUGGGCAUGCGUGUCAUUAGUUAGUUGGCGGGGUAACGGCCCACCAAGACCGCGAUGACUAGGGGAUCUGAGAGGAUGACCCCCCACACUGGUACUGAGACACGGACCAGACUCCUACGGGAGGCAGCAGUAAGGAAUAUUGGUCAAUGGGCGCAAGCCUGAACCAGCCAUGCCGCGUGCAGGAAGACGGCUCUCUGGGUUGUAAACUGCUUUUAUUCGGGAAUAAACCUGCUUACGUGUAAGUAGCUGAAUGUACCGAAGGAAUAAGGAUCGGCUAACUCCGUGCCAGCCGCCGCCGUAAAAC